rnacentral:rRNA from 1 species
UAGCAAGGUUAACCGUAUAGGGGAGCCGUAGGGAAACCGAGUCUUAACCGGGCGUUAAGUUGCAGGGUAUAGACCCGAAACCCGGUGAUCUAGCCAUGGGCAGGUUGAAGGUUGGGUAACACUAACUGGAGGACCGAACCGACUAAUGUUGAAAAAUUAGCGGAUGACCUGUGGCUGGGGGUGAAAGGCCAAUCAAACCGGGAGAUAGCUGGUUCUCCCCGAAAGCUAUUUAGGUAGCGCCUCGUGAAUUCAUCUCCGGGGGUAGAGCACUGUUUCGGCUAGGGGGCCAUCCCGGCUUACCAACCCGAUGCAAACUGCGAAUACCGGAGAAUGUUAUCACGGGAGACACACGGCGGGUGCUAACGUCCGUCGUGAAGAGGGAAACAACCCAGACCGCCAGCUAAGGUCCCAAAGUCAUGGUUAAGUGGGAAACGAUGUGGGAAGGCCCAGACAGCCAGGAUGUUGGCUUAGAAGCAGCCAUCAUUUAAAGAAAGCGUAAUAGCUCACUGGUCGAGUCGGCCUGCGCGGAAGAUGUAACGGGGCUAAACCAUGCACCGAAGCUGCGGCAGCGAACGUAUCACCCAAGACAACUUUACGGAGUUGACGAUUGACGGAGCGAAGCGACGUCAAAGCGUUCAUUAAAGUCGAGUUGGCUUAGGGAUACGUUCGUUGGGUAGGGGAGCGUUCUGUAAGCCUGUGAAGGUGUGUCGUGAGGCAUGCUGGAGGUAUCAGAAGUGCGAAUGCUGACAUAAGUAACGAUAAAGCGGGUGAAAAGCCCGCUCGCCGGAAGACCAAGGGUUCCUGUCCAACGUUAAUCGGGGCAGGGUGAGUCGACCCCUAAGGCGAGGCCGAAAGGCGUAGUCGAUGGGAAACGGGUUAAUAUUCCCGUACUUGGUGUUACUGCGAAGGGGGGACGGAGAAGGCUAUGUUGGCCGGGCGACGGUUGUCCCGGUUUAAGCGUGUAGGUGUGUGUUCCAGGUAAAUCCGGUUCACUUUAACACUGAGGCGUGACGACGAGGCACUACGGUGCUGAAGCAACAAAUGCCCUGCUUCCAGGAAAAGCCUCUAAGCAUCAGGUAACACGAAAUCGUACCCCAAACCGACACAGGUGGUCAGGUAGAGAAUACCAAGGCGCUUGAGAGAACUCGGGUGAAGGAACUAGGCAAAAUGGUGCCGUAACUUCGGGAGAAGGCACGCUGACACGUAGGUGAAGUGAUUUACUCAUGGAGCUGAAGUCAGUCGAAGAUACCAGCUGGCUGCAACUGUUUAUUAAAAACACAGCACUGUGCAAACACGAAAGUGGACGUAUACGGUGUGACGCCUGCCCGGUGCCGGAA